UCCAGACUCCUACGGGAGGCAGCAGUGGGGAAUAUUGGGCAAUGGGCGCAAGCCUGACCCAGCAACGCCGCGUGAAGGAAGAAGGCUCUCGGGUUGUAAACUUCUUUUAUCAGGGACGAAGCAAGUGACGGUACCUGAUGAAUAAGCCACGGCUAACUACGUGCCAGCAGCCGCGGUAAUACGUAGGGAGCAAGCGUUAUCCGGAAUUAUUGGGUGUAAAGGGUGCGUAGACGGGAUAACAAGUUGGUUGUGAAACCCCUCGGCUCAACUGAGGAACUGCAACCAAAACUAUUAUUCUUGAGUGCAGGAGAGGAAAGUGGAAUUCCUAGUGUAGCGGUGAAAUGCGUAGAUAUUAGGAAGAACACCGGUGGCGAAGGCGGCCUGCUGGACCGUGACUGACGUUGAGGCUCGAGAGCGUGGGGAGCAAACAGGAUUAGAUACCCCAGUACC
rnacentral:rRNA from 1 species